UCCCCUGUUUCAAUUUUUUAAAGAAUUUGAAAACAAGACUUUAAUUAUUGCCAGCUUUCCCUAUUUGCAUAUUUUCUGAUAAAAAAUGCCUAGAACCUGUUAAAAACUGUUUUGAUAACAUAUUGAAAGCAUAUCAGAAAUAUCAUAAAUGUAAUGUUUAGCAGUCAAUCAUUACAACAUUCAAGAUUAUAUAAAGUAUCCAAUCCAGCCUCUAUCUCCAGUCCACAUCUUACUGUAUGCCUAUUUUGUCAAUUAAAGAACACAUUUUCUGCCUCAAAUGGUCAAUUUAGAAUUCUUGUCACAACAGUAUCAUCUUUAACCAUAUAUCUGACACAAUUUAGCUACUAUAUAUACUAGAAGUGUUCAAACAAAGCCAUAUUUGCAAUAGUUGUAUGUAUGCAGAUACCAGUCUGAGAUAUAAAUUCACUUAAAAUGUUGUAGAGAUGACUGCUAACAUUUGAUUUUUGCAUAACUUCCAAGC
rnacentral:lncRNA from 1 species